ensembl:lncRNA
CUACUAGUAAGAUUAGAAAUACUAAAUUAUAAGAGGCUUGAAAAAUGUGAGGAAAUAAAAUUUUGCUUUUGUUGUAUAUGUAUUAUUUUGAAUGUGUAUUAUAAGGAAAUAUCAAUAGUUGAGGUGAAAAUAACUUCUUUCUUUUGGAGAAAUCAGACCAAUAAUUAAGUACUAUUAUACAGAUAAUAGUAGCUCAUGGUGUUUAUACUGUCUGUACCUUUUUAAAAUUGAGGAAUAAUUGAUAUAUAACUUUUUAUAUGAACCUUGAAUAUUAGUCAAAAAGUUUGAUUUCUCUGGGGCUAGUCGAACAUUCCAUAAAGAUGUUUUCUUUGUUUCAGUUCAUGAGGUCAUGUCAUUUGCAACUGGAUAGUCUAUGUAAAUAAAUAAUGCACAUGCUUUAUGUAAAAGUUGCCAACAAAGAGUUUGAUGUGGUUUAGAGCUUAGGGUACACCUAAGGGUAUACCAACAGACCAAUAUAUAGUUGUUAAAUUAAUGUAAAUUGUUCAGAGGAUAGUCAUGUUAUUGAUGUUUUGAACAGGGAUAAAAGACAGAAAAUAAUUAUUUGCAACAAAUACAACUAAAAGGGAAAGUGUUUUACAUUUGCAAUGAAAAUUAAAGAUGCUGAUAAGAAAGUAAAAAUGAUAGUUAAGGAUCUCUUUUUCCCUUAUUUAUUAGUACACAUUAUUCUUGAGUUAAAUAACUUAUAUUUGAUAUGCAAAUUACAUGAUACUGCUGAGCUAGUUUCAGAAUUUAACACCGCUAAAUUGCUAUCCUACUAAUAUGAGUGUUUGCAGUGAGUUGAUGCAACUCUUUGUAAUGUAUUUAUCAAAGUCUUUUGGUCUUCCUCAAUAUUACUCCUCACUGUCAAUAAGACAUGCACCUCAGGAGUAUAUUUUCCCCAUCAGUGUAUCAGUAUUAGGGAUACAUUUAGGAUUGUCUAUUGAAGAUUAUUGUUGUUAUUAUUAUUAUUUGUAUCUAGAGCUGUAUAUUUUCAACAAUAAUGAUUAUUGAUUCAUUCAUUUGUUCACUUUCAGACAAAUAUUUAGACUUACUUUAUGGUAGUUACUUUAAUUGACUUUUGUUUCUUUGCUGUAAUGGCUUAACCAUAUUCUCCUAGUAGUUCAUGGCCUAAGGAUAAUGACUCUUUCUGUGCUCAAAUUUCAAGAAACAAACACCCAAGCAAAAAAAAAAAAAAAAGUCAAUCAAAAUUUUGAUCAGUGAGUUCCCAUUGUGGCUCAGUGGUAACAAACCAGACUAGUAUGCAUGAGGACGUGGGUUUGAUCCUUAGCCUCUCUCAGUGGGUCAAGGAUCCGGCAUUGCUUUGAGCUGUGGUGUAGGUCACAGACAUAACUCGGAUCUGGCAUUGCUGUGGCUGUGGCAUAGGCCAGCAGCUAACAGCUCCAAUUCUACCCCUAGCCUGGGAACUUCCGUAUGCCACGAGUGCAGCCUUAAAAAGACAAAGAAAUUUUUUUGCUCAUUUUCAAUGGAAAGAAAAAUAAUUCUGUAAAAUUGAAUUUUCUGGGUUGUAUUUGAGAAUCCACCAGACUUUAUUUUAAAAUGCUGUAGUUGAAAUUUUCAGGAAAUUUUCAAAUUACUCUUUGUACAGAAAGUAAACCAAAUUUAAUUAUAUCCUUCCAAGUAUAGGUUUUCAUUUAUAUAAUAUAGAAAUAGCUAGCUUUUCUAGAAAGCAUUAUAUAUCUAUAAUUGACUGAAUGAUAAAUUCACUUUUUCAUUCAGUAUUGUAGUAUGACCUACACAAAUGACAACUGUAACAUUUCUCUAACCAUAUAUGAGCUAUGUCUCUUUAAAUAUAUUAUAUCACAUUUUACAGAUAAAUAGGCCAAGUGAGAAAACUCUUUGCUUAUGGUUUUUAAAAACAUAUUGUAUCCAGAUAUAUCAAUAAAUUUUUAUUAAUCCAAUAAUUCUAUGAAAGUUUAGAAAUGAAAAUAAAUAGUUGGGUUUGCUAAAAGUAACACCUGAAAUGGUGGAUAUAGCCACAUUAAAAAAAAGCCUAAAGAGUUUAACCAGUUUCUCUGCUUUCACAUAAGUUCAUAAACCAGACACUUAAGUACUUAGAAAUUAGACCACACUGACAAAUUGACUUCAUCAGGAAAGUUCUUUGUAUGGAGGAUUGAUAUUGUUAAAAAUAAUUGAGCAGGGUCGGAUCAUUGAUUGAAAAACGUUUACAAUAGCUAAGUGAGUAUACUUGCAAAUAUUUUUUCUCGUCUUUGAUAAGCUUCUGUGGAUCUUCAAAUUAGUACCCCCAAAUGUUUUUCUUAAAUGUUUGACUUGACAUGCAGUGAAGAGUACUUUAAGAUAAUUCAGAAAACAGUGUGAGAAUGGGAUUUUGGAUUUCCUGCUCAAAUUUCAGGGAUAUAUGCUUAACUGUUAACAGUACCUGGUGAGUUUGUCAGUUUGGUUUGGUACCUGGGAAACUCCUAGUAUGGUGCUUACACAUAUAAAUCCUCGGUAAAUGAUGGCUUAUAGAUAUUUUUUUGUGGCUAAAAACCAUUAGGAAAAAACCCCACCAGAUUAUUCAUGAAGCCAGUUUCCUACAGAUUCUUAUCUAAAUAAAAAUAUACGUAAAAGAGUACAGACCUAUCAAGCUGGAGCUCUUGUCUGUAAGUUUUCAGGGUGUAUUUAUUUGAAUAUGUGAAAAGAUGGUGUUUUGUAGUUUCUGGCAAUAUAUUUGUAUAAUCAGAAUUUCUUUUUCAAUUCUAAAACUAAUGAUACAUUUAUGAAUUUUAGGUCUCAUAAAAUUUCCAACUUGUUGACCUCAAUAAUUUGCUUUAUUUCAUACUGUGUGUUGGUAAAAUAUCCACCAAUUUUUGAUUUAAAAAGACAGAAAGAGGAGCUGGCACAAUAGACAGCUUUAUAUAUGAAAUGGACUAUUUCUUAGUCAUCUGAAUACAUUUCAGGCUUUAUAUGAAUCUCAUCUUAGAGUUAAGAGAGCAUUCACCAAGGACAUAGAAUAAAAUACACUCUCAGAAUCAAAUGAUGACUAAGAAUUAUUGUGAACAAUAAAUAAAUAAACAACAUCAAAGUUAGCUGUCAGAUAAGUGAUGACUGCUGUCUUAAUGAAAGAAGAAAAAAAAGAAAGCUAUGGUAGGUAAUGGUUUUAGUAAAGCUGCCAGCCUGAGAUUUGAAUGAUCUGUAUUGCAUCCUUCUAUUGAGUUAGAUAUGAGAUUACAUAAGAAAAUUCAAUCUAUCAAAGCAUUUUGUUUCAUUAGUCACAUAGCUUCUUUGUUGUACUCCAAUAAACAUGUGGGAUAGUUUCUCUAAAGGGAUAAGUUAAGUACAUCUGUGAAGUAAGCAGAAUUGAAGGGAAUUUAGUGUUGUAAAAUGGGCAUACCUCCUCACCCGACCUAGCUUCUUUGAACCUCCCUUCUGUCUUUAUUUUCUUUGCUGAAGAUCGAUUGACUUUAUAAGAGAAUCCAUUGCUUGACCCAGUGCGUUCCAGUGGAAGUGAUUUUCUUAAUCAUUGCUCUCAAUAUUGCUCAAUUCAAGUUGCAUUUCAUUCAAGAGCUUGUAUUUUCUGAAAAGGAAAAUUUUCUUUAAUCUUGGGCUAUGUGUAGAUUAGGUUACAUGCUAGAAGUAGCUUAAUGUUGGUGGAACUUUAGCUGAAUAAUCACUUUGAGGAAAUGGAAGUGUUGAAUAAAAAGCUGUGGAUAGGAAGCAAGAGGUUCAUAAAUUUAAAGUAGCUUUAUAUUAAUUUAACAUUUAUGAAACAAAUACUAUGUCCUGGGUGACAAUAUGCUGGUUUUACCCUUGAAAUAUUUUUAUCACAAAACAUCAGUAUGUAGAAUUCUCCUUGAUAAAUGUAUUGUAUUACGAUAGAAGCCAAGAGAACUGAUAUAAGAUCAAGGCUAUGAAUUUGUCAAAGAAGUUGUUCUGGGCUUGGAAUCAUUUGACAAGUGGCUGAGAAAACAUGAAGAAUUCCAUGCCUUUCAAAGUUAUCAGACUCCUUAUGUAUUUGUGGCUAUUUAUCCCUCAAAUGACCAGGAAAUCCUAUAGCUCCCGAUACCCUAUAUCUUUCCUUCGUGGUUUGAAAGACCUUCUCUAAGGUUGGAGUUCUAGAUCUCUAAACUGCCUGCACCAUGUUUCUUUCGGCUUGAAAGACUUGGACAAAGCAUCUCCAACAUCAAGAAGGUGUCUGCAGUCAUUUUCUUCCACAUUAACGCUGUCCACUUGCUUCUCCAAGCCCUGUUUACAGACUUAAGCACUGAGUUAUUUUGCUGAAAGUGAGACUUUCUUUUCUUUUCAUUUUGUCACCGAAAAUGAGAAGAAAACAAGGAAAUUAUAGAACCAGGUGUUUGUUCCAAGGAUCAUAAAUGUUGAUUUGCUGUUAAACGUGGUACCUAUGUUAAUAAAAAUAACCAUUGGUCAAUAUCUAAAGGAAUGAGUGUACUUAUUAUCUUACACAAGUAAAAAGGAAAGGAGGGAAGUACCAACAUAGGAAGGAAUGAGUAAAGGAAUGAAAGAAGACAGAGAAAAAAAACAAACAAUUUUAAAUCAUGCUUUUUUUUGUUGUUGUUGUUAAGGUUAAGCCUGGUUCUAUAAUGAAGAAUAUGAAAGGAAAAGUUUGAUCUAUGUGUUGUUCUUUAUAAUCUGAGUGUGUUUAAACCUGCUUUGCUAAUUCUAGUAGUGGCAUUCUUUAAUUUUUAUUUACUGUUUUCCUCUAACUUAGCUUUAUACUUUCAGCCAAAAACAACAAUAAAAGCUAACGUGGUUUUUGAAGAAAUUCUUUUAUUAACUUAGUUUGGCC